GAUGAACGCUAGCGGGAGGCCUAACACAUGCAAGCCGAGCGGUAGAGUUUCUUCGGAAACUUGAUAGCGGCGCACGGGUGCGUAACACGUGUGCAACCUACCUUUAUCUGGGGGAUAGCCUUUCGAACGGAAGAUUAAUACCCCAUAAUAUAAUGAUUGGCAUCAAUUAUUAUUGAAAACUCCGGUGGAUAGAGAUGGGCCCGCGCAAGAUUAGAUAGUUGGUGAGGUAACGGCUCACCAAGUCAAUGAUCUUUAGGGGUCCUGAGGGGGAGAUCCACCACACUGGUAAUGAGACCCGGACCAGACUGCUACGGGACGCAGCAGUGAGUAAUAUUGUACAAUGGGUGAGAGCCUGACACAGCCGUCCCGGUUGAAGGAUGACGCUCCUAUGGAUUGUAAACUUCUUUUGUACAGCGAUAAACCAACCCUCGUGAGGGUAGCUGACGGUACUGUACGAAUAAGCACCGGCUAACUCCGUG
rnacentral:rRNA from 1 species